rnacentral:rRNA from 1 species
GACGAACGCUGGCGGCGUGCUUAACACAUGCAAGUCGAACGGAAAGGCCCUGCUUUUGUGGGGUGCUCGAGUGGCGAACGGGUGAGUAACACGUGAGUAACCUGCCCUUGACUUUGGGAUAACUUCAGGAAACUGGGGCUAAUACCGGAUAGGAGCUCCUGCUGCAUGGUGGGGGUUGGAAAGUUUCGGCGGUUGGGGAUGGACUCGCGGCUUAUCAGCUUGUUGGUGGGGUAGUGGCUUACCAAGGCUUUGACGGGUAGCCGGCCUGAGAGGGUGACCGGCCACAUUGGGACUGAGAUACGGCCCAGACUCCUACGGGAGGCAGCAGUGGGGAAUAUUGCACAAUGGGCGGAAGCCUGAUGCAGCAACGCCGCGUGCGGGAUGACGGCCUUCGGGUUGUAAACCGCUUUCGCCUGUGACGAAGCGUGAGUGACGGUAAUGGGUAAAGAAGCACCGGCUAACUACGUGCCAGCAGCCGCGGUGAUACGUAGGGUGCGAGCGUUGUCCGGAUUUAUUGGGCGUAAAGGGCUCGUAGGUGGUUGAUCGCGUCGGAAGUGUAAUCUUGGGGCUUAACCCUGAGCGUGCUUUCGAUACGGGUUGACUUGAGGAAGGUAGGGGAGAAUGGAAUUCCUGGUGGAGCGGUGGAAUGCGCAGAUAUCAGGAGGAACACCAGUGGCGAAGGCGGUUCUCUGGGCCUUUCCUGACGCUGAGGAGCGAAAGCGUGGGGAGCGAACAGGCUUAGAUACCCUGGUAGUCCACGCUGUAAACGGUGGGUACUAGGUGUGGGGUCCAUUCCACGGGUUCCGUGCCGUAGCUAACGCUUUAAGUACCCCGCCUGGGGAGUACGGCCGCAAGGCUAAAACUCAAAGGAAUUGACGGGGCCCCGCACAAGCGGCGGAGCAUGCGGAUUAAUUCGAUGCAACGCGUAGAACCUUACCUGGGUUUGACAUGGAUCGGGAGUGCUCAGAGACGGGUGUGCCUCUUUUGGGGUCGGUUCACAGGUGGUGCAUGGCUGUCGUCAGCUCGUGUCGCGAGAUGUUGGGUUAAGUCCCGCAACGAGCGCAACCCUUGUUCACUGUUGCCAGCACGUUAUGGUGGGGACUCAGUGGAGACCGCCGGGGUCAACUCGGAGGAAGGUGGGGAUGACGUCAAGUCAUCAUGCCCCUUAUGUCCAGGGCUUCACGCAUGCUACAAUGGCUGGUACAGAGAGUGGCGAGCCUGUGAGGGUGAGCGAAUCUCGGAAAGCCGGUCUCAGUUCGGAUUGGGGUCUGCAACUCGACCUCAUGAAGUCGGAGUCGUUAGUAAUCGCAGAUCAGCAACGCUGCGGUGAAUACGUUCCCGGG